rnacentral:tRNA from 1 species
GGAGGCCGUGGCUUGGUGGUUGAGCAUCUGCUUAGCAGGCAGGAGGCUGCAGGUUCAAUCCUCGGCAUCUCCA